GGGCUCACACAAGCGGUGGAGCAUGUGGCUUAAUUCGAGGCAACGCGAAGAACCUUAUCCUGGGUUUGACAUGCAUGGAUUAACCCAAUGAAAGUUGGGCCACGCUCGCAAGAGUGGAACAUGCACAGGUGCUGCAUGGCUGUCGUCAGCUCGUGUCGUGAGAUGUCGCGUUAAGUCGCUAAACGAGCGAAACCCUUAUCCUUAGUUGCCAGCGAGUAAUGUCGGGGACUCUAAGGAGACUGCCGGUGUCAAACCGGAGGAAGGCGGGGAUGACGUCAAGUCCUCAUGGCCUUUAUGCCCAGGGCUGCACACGUGCUACAAUGGGGCGUACAAAGCGCUGCAAGCCUGCGAAGGCAAGCGAAUCGCAAAAAGCGUCCCUCAGUUCGGAUUGCAGGCUGCAACUCGCCUGCAUGAAGCCGGAAUCGCUAGUAAUCGCAGAUCAGCAUUGCUGCGGUGAA
rnacentral:rRNA from 1 species